AGUAAUCCUGUGGCUUGAGCUUCAAAGCCAUUUGGAAGGAAGCAAUGGCUCUGUCAUAUUCCCUGGAUAAAUUAUAUAGCACGCCAAGUACAAUGUGUACAUCAGCAUCCUCAGGUGACAUCUGAGAAGCUUCAUUGAAUAAUCUAGCAACAUCUGCAUAAUGUAAUGAAUUAGCAAGCUCUGGAGUGGCAAGCGUUCUAUACUUUGAAUGAUUAUGUAGCCAUCCAUAUAAGUACUUCAAGGCAGCUGCUUGCUCCAACUCAU
rnacentral:misc_RNA from 1 species